GAAUAUUGGACAAUGGGGGGAACACUGAUCCAGCCAUGCCGCGUGUGUGAAGAAGGCCUUUUGGUUGUAAAGCCCUUUAAGCGAGGAGGAGGCUCCUCCAGUUAAUACCUAGAGAUAGCGGACGUUACUCGAAGAAUAAGCACCGGCUAACCCUGGGCCAGGAGCCGCGGUAAUAAAGAGGGUGCAAGCGGUGAUCUGAUUUACUGGGCGUAAAGCGCGCGUAGGUGGCCAAAUAAGUCAAAUGUGAAAUCCCCGAGCUUAACUUGGGAAUUGCAUUCGAUACUGGUUCGCCAGAGUAUGGGAGAGGAUGGUAGAAUUCCAGGUGUAGCGGUGAAAUGCGUAGAGAUCUGGAGGAAUACCGAUGGCGAAGGCAGCCAUCUGGCCUAAUACUGACACUGAGGUGCGAAAGCGUGGGGAGCAAAC
rnacentral:rRNA from 1 species